rnacentral:lncRNA from 1 species
GAAGAUGGUACCCAGGGAGAUCACGACUAAGAGUUAACUUUUAGAACCACUUGUAUUUUUAAUUUCCUUUGGGGUUGCAGGGUGACAUGAAUUGGUAGAUAAUCUUUUUUUUUUUUAUUUUUUUUUUCUUGUCUUAGAAUAUUUUACAUUAUAUGCUGAGUUGUUUUAAUCUUUUUAAUUUAGUGUUAUAUUUUAAUAACUUUAAUUAUGUUUGGAUGUUUGUCCAUUGUAGUGUUAGGUUCAACAUUUUAUUUUACUUUAAUGUUUUCUAUCUUAUUCGGUUGUGUUUAAUUUCCAUGCGUUUGAAUUGAGUUUAAUUUUCGUUUCAAACACCUUCAAACCCCCCCCCUCCCCCACUAUGUGUGUGUUUGACCUAAGAUUUGAACUGCAUUUGGUCCUUGAGAGACGACCUAGGAGUCACUUCCUAGCUAUACUGCGUUUCUAAAAUGCAAUCAAAUUUGUAUGGGCUGCGACAACCCAUCAGUGCUGCUGCCAUAGAUUGGGCCGUUGCUAUUGAAAUUGAGCUUUUGUGUUGUUGUUGGGCUGAUUCACCAAUUAGUGAAGCGGUGCGUUUUAGGAGGCAAAGGUUGCAGCUUCCUUGGGGGUCUUUUGUCUCGCUUCAUUUUGGCAAGUAGAAGAAACACUCUGGUGUUAGGGUUUCUAGAGAAUGCAAGAGAACAAGAGAGCUCCAUGGCUUGUGGCUUUCAUACCAGAGUUUGAGUGAGUUAGAGGUCGCACGUGUGUAGGGAUGAGAACACUUAAGCAGAUCGUGAACGAGAAAGGAGCCGUUGGAUUGAGAAAGGAAGUGAUGCUAAGAAGGUUCCCUUUUUCCCAAUUAUUUUUCUUUCUCUGCUCUGUUUUUGGACCCUAUAAAAGGGCAUGUAAAUAGACUUUUGAGGGGGAAUCGCGGAGGGUGACAAACUCCGCGAAUGAGUGAGAGACGAUUGGCGAGAGCGAGAUUGCGAGUGAGAGAGUAACAUAGGUUUAUCGCUUUCAUAGGCUAGGGUUUAUCGCGCUUUUCUUUGAUUUUGGAUUUUGCCGAGUUGCAAGGGUGACAGGCCGUGAUUUUCGAUGAUUUCUGGUAUUGUGUACUUUUGUUUCCACAGUUAAAUACAAUUCUGAGUUCCUUUAUUGUUCUUGUUCUGGAUUUUUAUUUUGAUUUUGUUCUUGAAUUCAAUGAUGUUUCUGUGCUUUCUUGAAUUUGAUUGAGUUUUAGAUGGAUGAAUAGGAUAAUGAAUAUUGGUUGGACAAAUGAGUGGAAAAAGUCAGUUUAGGUUCUGAAAUAUGAACCAAAAUACCCUGGAUUGGGAUUCACCUUAUCAGGAUGUCUUCCUAAGAACUCUAAGCACACUUUUAUUCACUCCAAUGUGC